UCUUCCCUGUCCAUGGGUCCUGUCCCCAUGCCUGCAGCUCUUCACUGCCUGUGAAUCCUGACCCUGUGCCUGCAGCACUUCACUGCCCAUGGGUCCUGUCCCCAUGCUAUUCUCUGAAUAAAGGAGCACUACUACCAGACCUUGAGAGUCCAAGAAAUUUUUCUUUCGACUCCUUGACUCACAGAGCCUGCGUCAUUUCUUCUGGUGGCCUGUACGGGGAUCUUGCUUCAUUGACUUGUGAGCUGAAGUUCUGAGAAAUUCGUGGAAAGGAUUCUGACACAGGAUUCUAGAAUACAGCUUUCUGAUAAACUUUCACAUGGUAGAACCGAAUUGGGUAAGAAAUUAUGGAAUUCUAACAGAGAAACUUGGCCUCAUAAACCUGCCUAACAGAAGACUAAGAUCAAGAAUUGAUUAUACAGGACUGUAUGAACUGCAAUUUCGUGAAAUUAUACCUUUGUGAGCAGAACUGAAA